AUUGAACGCUGGCGGCAUGCCUUACACAUGCAAGUCGAACGGCAGCAUAGGAGCUUGCUCCUGAUGGCGAGUGGCGAACGGGUGAGUAAUAUACCGGAACGUGCCCUAGAGUGGGGGAUAACUAGUCGAAAGACUAGCUAAUACCGCAUACGAUCUACGGAUGAAAGUGGGGGAUCGCAAGACCUCAUGCUCCUGGAGCGGCCGAUAUCUGAUUAGCCAGUUGGUGGGGUAAAAGCUCACCAAGGCGACGAUCAGUAGCUGGUCUGAGAGGACGACCAGCCACACUGGGACUGAGACACGGCCCAGACUCCUACGGGAGGCAGCAGUGGGGAAUUUUGGACAAUGGGGGCAACCCUGAUCCAGCAAUGCCGCGUGAGUGAAGAAGGCCUUCGGGUUGUAAAGCUCUUUUGUCAGGGAAGAAACGGUUCUGGAUAAUACCUGGGACUAAUGACGGUACCUGAAGAAUAAGCACCGGCUAACUACGUGCCAGCCGCCGCCGUAA
rnacentral:rRNA from 1 species